UACGAAGGGGGCUAGCGUUGUUCGGAAUUACUGGGCGUAAAGCGCGCGCAGGCGGUCCUUUAAGUCGGGGGUGAAAGCCCAGAGCUCAACUCUGGAACUGCCUUCGAAACUAGAGGACUUGGGUACGGGAGAGGUGAGUGGAAUUCCGGAGUGUAGAGGUGAAAGUUCGUAGAUAUCGGGAGGAACACCAGUGGCGAAGGCGGCGAUCUGGGAAGAUACGUGACGCUGAGGUGGCGAAAGCGUGGGGAGCAAACAGGAUAGAAACCCC
rnacentral:rRNA from 1 species